CGUCUUCAGGGCAGGGUGUAAUUCCCGACCGGCGGUACAGUCCGCGAGCCGAGAGAUCGGCAGGAACCGGUGCGAUUCCGGUACCGACAGUAGAGUCUGGAUGGAAGAAGGCA
rnacentral:ncRNA from 1 species